GUCAAAUUGAGGAGAAAUAAUUAUUUUAUUCACCCAUCCUAUUUUUUAUCUAUAAUGAUGAUCAUUUUUCCAUGUUGUGAUCUUUGCUCCAGUUGUGCUAAUACCAUGUUUAUCAUGUUUACCAUGUUUUAUCUUAAAAAUUGGCUUCUAUUUUGUUUCUAACCUAUAUCUCAACAUGGUUACUUUCUCCAAACAUGCUUUAGCUGCAGCAUUGGUCAACUGGCUUGAGCACAGCUCACAUGAGUCAUCGCCAAAUGACCCUUUUCUGAAAUUCACUGAGAGAGGAGUUACUCCAUGUAACAAGCAACUGAAGCAAGGGAAAGAAUGAGCCCCUGAACCCAGGAUGCAUGGCGAAGGAUCCAAUAUGUCAGGACCAAUGAGGGAAUUGCAGAGCUUCAUAUACAUUUGCCUUCUUCAAGUGUCUAGAUUACAUGAAACAUGUUUCUUCAAGUGUCUACACACUACAGGAAAUAAGUUUCUUAUGGAAGUAGUCAAACCUGGAUACCAAUUCAUUGGAACCAUUAUAUUCCUUAUAGAAGUAAUGCAAUAUAUUCUCUCUCU